rnacentral:tRNA from 1 species
AGGGGUAUAGCUUAGUGGUAGAGUGCUUGCCUACCAUGCAUGAGGCCCUGGGUUUAAUCCCCAGUAUUGCAA